AGGACACCUGACAUGUAUAAAUUCUGAUCAAAUAAUAAAAAUUUAACAGUGCGAUUGCGAAACCUAAGGGUGCUAGUAGCUUUUAACCUGAAAGCUUCGUGGAUUUCAUAAUAUAAUGUUUGGAAAAUUGGUAUUUCUCUUCGCCAUCUUCGCCGUGGCUUUAGCCCGACCGCAGGUUUACCCUGGCUACGGGUACAGUGGGUACUCUAGCACUUACCCGGGCUACUCUGGUUAUUCCGGAUACUCCAACCCAUUAUCUUACUCUGGAUACGGAGGCUACUCGGGUUAUCCUUAUAGCUAUGGUAGCUAUGGAUACUAUUGAUUUCACCUACUUUUAAGACAAAAUUAAUUUUAAUUAUAUGUACAGUCGGCCACAAAAUUGCCGUUUUCAACAAUGUCCGGUAUGAAAAAUCACCUAGGUUCAGAUUUUAAGCAAAUUAAUACCUUUAAUUAUAAAAAUGUAUGUAGUAGGUACUUGUAAGCGAAAAAGAUCUUGUAGUUUUAUGAUACGUGCUAACAACAUUCUAAUGGAUGGUAAAGAUGCUAAAGUGGCAGGUACCUAAAGCAAUUUUAUGGUCAAUAUUAUUUUUGUGAUUUUUUUUAAUGUUUUAUUUUUGCUUAAAACAAACUAUGAAUUUUUUUCAUUCACAAGUUAUGUUUUGACUUUUAAAUUAUCUUUUGAUCCAUUUUUCGUUUUGUAUUGUAUA